AAUAUUAUAUUGGCUUUGCAAAGGUGUGCGUCGCACGUGCUUAUUUUUAAUUUCUUUUUUUCGUGUACACAAAUUUUCAAUCAGAAAUCUUGCUCCGACCAUUAAAUUCAGGAUGAUUUUUAGCAUAAAUAUUUAUUUUUGUUGUUGUUUUCUUGAACAUUAAGGAAAAAACCGGGGAAAAACGUAGGAAAAAUAAAAAAUAUACUACAAUAACGAAUUCUAUAUUUUCGAUUAUGUUUUUAGAUUCGAGCGUAGCGAGGGAUGUGUG